rnacentral:rRNA from 1 species
UACGUAGGGUGCAAGCGUUGUCCGGAAUUAUUGGGCGUAAAGAGCUCGUAGGCGGUUUUGUCGCGUCUGCUGUGAAAACCCGAGGCUCAACCUCGGGCCUGCAGUGGGUACGGGCAGACUAGAGUGCGGUAGGGGAGAUUGGAAUUCCUGGUGUAGCGGUGGAAUGCGCAGAUAUCAGGAGGAACACCAAUGGCGAAGGCAGAUCUCUGGGCCGUAACUGACGCUGAGGAGCGAAAGCGUGGGGAGCGAACAGG